rnacentral:rRNA from 1 species
AUGUCGGCAAUAGAGCAACGCCUGUAUCAAUUCAAAGACCGUAAGGGAGCAGAAAUAUUCGAGCCUACUGUUGGAACAACAUUUGACUCCAGCCAAGAAGCAUACGAAUUUUAUAAUCUGUACUCAUGGGAAUGUGGAUUCGGUAUUCGUCAUGGGAAGAGCAGAACUAGCACAAACAACUAUAGGAGCAUGCACGAGCUGGUCUGCCAGUGCGCGGACAAGGCGAGAAAGGAAAACACACCAUCUUGCAAAACUGAUUGCAAGGCAAUGAUCAAAUUGCUUCGUACAAAGGUAUGUGAGUGCAAUCGUCAAAGAACACAACCAUCGGUUGUCAUUGGGAUAUGA